rnacentral:misc_RNA from 1 species
GAAAUGCGAUAAGUAAUGUGAAUUGCAGAAUUCAGUGAAUCAUCGAAUCUUUGAACGCACCUUGCGCCCCUUGGUAUUCCUUGGAGCAUGCCUGUUUGAGUAUCAUGAAAUCUUCAAAGUAAAUCUUUUGUUAACUCAAUUGGUUUCUACUUUGGUAUUGGAGGUCUUUGCAGCUUCACACCUGCUCCUCUUUGUUCAUUAGCUGGAUCUCAGUGUUAUGCUUGGUUCCACUCGGCGUGAUAAGUUAUCUAUCGCUGAGGACACUGUAAAAGGUGGCCAAGGUAAAUGCAGAUGAACCGCUUCUAAUAGUCCAUUGACUUGGACAAUACUUUUAUGAUCUGAUCUCAAAUGAGGUAGGACUACCCGCUGAACUUAAGC